GAUGAACGCUGGCGGCGUGCCUAAUACAUGCAAGUCGAGCGAACGGACGAGAAGCUUGCUUUUCUGAUGUUAGCGGCGGACGGGUGAGUAACACGUGGAUAACCUACCUAUAAGACUGGGAUAACUUCGGGAAACCGGAGCUAAUACCGGAUAAUAUUUUGAACCGCAUGGUUCAAAAGUGAAAGACGGUCUUGCUGUCACUUAUAGAUGGAUCCGCGCUGCAUUAGCUAGUUGGUAAGGUAACGGCUUACCAGGGCAACGAUGCAUAGCCGACCUGAGAGGGUGAUCGGCCACACUGGAACUGAGACACGGUCCAGACUCCUACGGGAGGCAGCAGUCGGGAAUCUUCCGCAAUGGGCGAAAGCCUGACGGAGCAACGCCGCGUGAGUGAUGAAGGUCUUCGGAUCGUAAAACUCUGUUAUUAGGGAAGAACAUAUGUGUAAGUAACUGUGCACAUCUUGACGGUACCUAAUCAGAAAGCCACGGCUAACUACGU
rnacentral:rRNA from 1 species